GAUGAACGCUGGCGGCGUGCCUAAUACAUGCAAGUCGAGCGAACAGACGAGGAGCUUGCUCCUCUGACGUUAGCGGCGGACGGGUGAGUAACACGUGUAUAACCUACCUAUAAGACUGGGAUAACUUCGGGAAACCGGAGCUAAUACCGGAUAAUAUAUUGAACCGCAUGGUUCAAUAGUGAAAGACGGUGUUGCUGUCACUUAUAGAUGGAUCCGCGCCGCAUUAGAUAGUUGGUAAGUUAACGGCUUACCAAGGCGACGAUGCGUAGCCGACCUGAGAGGGUGAUCGGCCACACUGGAACGGAGACACGGUCCAGACUCCUACGGGAGGCAGCAGUAGGGAAUCUUCCGCAAUGGGCGGAAGCCUGACGGAGCAACGCCGCGUGAGUGAUGAAGGUCUUCGGAUCGUAAAACUCUGUUAUUAGGGAAGAACAAAUGUGUAAGUAACUAUGCACGUCUUGACGGUACCUAAUCAGAAAGCCACGGCUAACUACGUG
rnacentral:rRNA from 1 species